UACAGAGGUCCCAAGCGUUGUUCGGAUUCAUUGGGCGUAAAGGGUGCGUAGGCGGCGCGGUAAGUCGGGUGUGAAAUCUCGGAGCUUAACUCCGAAACUGCAUUCGAUACUGCCGUGCUUGAGGACUGGAAAGGAGACUGGAAUUUACGGUGUAGCGGUGAAAUGCGUAGAUAUCGUAAGGAAGACCAGUGGCGAAGGCGGGUCUCUGGACAGUUCCUGACACUGAGGCACGAAGGCCAGGGGAGCAAACGGG
rnacentral:rRNA from 1 species